UCAUCGGGUCAGGCCUUGGGCCAACGUAGGCACUCUCGCAGUUCCUCCGCCUUCAGGAAGGUCUUUUUGGCAGGGGCCUUACGGGUGCGCGCUUCGGUCCUGGAGGCGUUAUCCUAGCCUCCUCUCCAUCAGCGCCACCCGUCUGGGGCCCGAUAGGAGGGAGAUUUCCCUCUGUCCCCCAGCCUUUGGACUGUCACCAAACAAGCCAUUCGUUCACCAAAUACUUAUUAAGCGCCUACCAUGUGUCUGGCAAGGGAGAUGUAACAGUGAGAAAAACUAGGUGUGGUCCAGGCCCUCCAGGGGCUCAGGGGCUCGUGGAAGAAGUAGACAUUGAAGUACUUAUCACACAAAUGAGUAUAAAAGUACAAUAGCGAUAUCUGCCACGAAGGCGAGCAGACAGAGCUAGCGGGGCUUGCAGGAGGAGUUUUGAUCUUGCAGGGAUAGGAAGGAGGACUUAGUUCCUGCGGGGUGGGCUUGGGGGUGGUGGUGAUAGAGACGUGGGGACAGAGUGGAAAACAACAAAAAUAUAAUUAUUUUAGUUCAAAGUUAUUGUGUCUUGAGUUGAAAGGCAGGGCAGUUAGCAACACAGUUCAGAUUUCAGUACUGCCCCUGAAAUCUGAACUGUGUUCAAAGUCUAAAACGUUUACCUUAGCAAAUCCCUCAUAAAACUCCAUUUGGAAGAGUCCCGAGAGCGAAUUUGUUAAGUAUACUUGCAAAAGGUAGAUGAGGAGACAGAUAAAAUCUUAUUACCUCUUUCAGAUGAGAGGCACUUGAGCCCUGCUCAGCUAUGAGAAUAAGAGAGGGGAAUUAAUUCUAAUUGAAUACACUUGUUCUCUUAUAGCUGUUGUUCCACACCAGAACCAAAUGAACGCAAGAUCUGACAAAGAAAAAAAGAGGUUCAUCUUUUAUUCCCCCAAACCCUUUCAUUUAAAUCAAGAGGGUGGGAUGUGGUUAUUGCUGUGUUUUUAGGCAGAAUCAACGGUUUCUGGGUCUGAGAUGUUGCAUACACCCUCUCAGUCCCUGUAUCCUGAGAUGGAGUCACCUGAGAAUCCACAGCAAGUCCUAACCAGGGAUGGGUCUGGGUGAUUAAGGAAGGUUGGCUUCAGAACUGGGCCAGGGGCACUGCUUUGCUUUUGCUGUUUUGAUCAGCUCUCUGCCUGCAGGAGACAAGGAAAACCAAUGGGAACAGCUGGGGAAACUGAAUUACAGAGCUUUUCUGCACUGAAUCAUCAGGAGCAAAUGCUAGAUCAGAUAGGGUCUCUCUCUCUGCCACUCAGGCCACAGUGCAGUUGACGCAGGGCAGGGGAGCCCCGAAGUGGAGCAUAGUGUGUCCAGAACUGGUGGGUUCUUGGUCUCACUGACUUCAAGAAUGAAGCCACAGACCCUCGGGGUGAGUGUCACAGUUCUUAAAGGCGGCUUGUCUGGAGUUUGUUCCUUCUGAUGCUCGGAUGUGUUCAGAGUUUCUUCCUUCUGGUGGGUUUGUGGUCUCGCUGGCUUCAGGAGUGAAACUGCAGACCUUCAUGGUGAGUGUUACAGCUCUUAAGGUGGCGUGUCUGGAGUUGUUUGUUCCUCCCGGUGGGUUCAUAGUCUCGCUGGCUUCAGGAGUGAAGCUGCAGACCUUCGAAGUGAGUGUUACAGCUCAUAAAGGCAACGUGGACCCCAAGAGUGAGCAGCAGAAAGAUUUAUUGCAAAGAGCAAAAGAACAAAGCUUCCACAGUGUGGAAAGGGACCCCAGAGGGUUGCCACUGCUGGCUGGGGCAGCCUGCUUUUAUUCCCUUAUCUGGCCCCACCCACAUCCUGCUGAUUGGUCCAUUUUACAGAGAGCCGAUUGGUCUGUUUUACAGAGAGCUGAUUGGUCUGUUUUGACAGGGUGCUGAUUGGUGCGUUUACAAUCCCUGAGCUAGACACAAAAGUUCUCCAAGUCCCUACUAGAUUAGCUAGACACAGAGUGUCAAUUAGUGCAUUCACAAACCCUGAGCUAGACACAGGGUGCUGAUUGGUGUGUUUACAAACCUUGAGCUAGAUACAGAGUGUGGAUUGGUGUAUUUACAAUCCCUUAGCUAGACAUAAAGAUUCUCAAAGUCCCCACCAGACUCAGGAGCCCAGCUGGCUUCACCAAGUGGAUCCCUCACGGGGGCCGCAGGUGGAGCUGCCUUCCAGUCCUGCGCCCUGUGCUGGCACUCCUCAGCCCUUGGGUGGUCGAUGGGACUGGGCGCCCUGGAGCAGGGGGCAGUGUCCAUUGGGGAGGCUUGGCACUCAUCGGGGAGGCUCAGGCCACGAAGGAGCCCACGAGGGUUGGGGGGAGGCUCAGGCAUGGCAGGCUGCAUGUCCCGAGCCCUGCCCUGCAGGGAAGCAGCUAAGGCCCUGCGAGAAAUUGAGCAAAGCAGCUGCUGGCCCAGGUGCUAAGCCCCUCACUGCCUGGGUCCAGUGGGGUGGCAGGCCAGUCUGAGUGCAGGGCCCAGUGAGCCCAUGCCCACCCGGAACUCACGCUGGCCUGCAAGCACCACCCCCAGCCCCGGUUCCUGCCAGCACGUCUCCCUCUACACCUCCCCGCAAGCUGAGGGUGCGGGCUCCAGCCUCGGCCAGCCCAGGAAGGGGCUCCCACAGUGCAGCGGCAGGCUGAAGGGCUCCACAAGUGCCGCCGAAGUGGGAGCCCAGGCAGAGGAGGCGCCGAGAGUGAGUUCGAAGGCUGCCAGCAUGCUGUCACCUCUCAAUAGCACGUGAGGGUUCUUGUCUUUACCCAGGAAAGAAUUCAAGGGCAAGCCGGAGGUUUAGAAGAAAACAGCUUUAUUGAAGAGGCAGGAUUAGAGCCCUGUGACUGCUCCUGUAGGGCAGGGUUACCCUGGAGGCAGAGAGUAGCGGCAGAGAGUUUGCAAUCACAUUUAUACUCACUUUUAAUUGCAUGCAGAUUAAAGGGCAGUUUAUGCAGGAAUUUCUAGAAAAUGGGUAGUAACUUUUGAGUCAUUGGGUCAUUUCCAUGGAAAGGGGCAGUAACUCCCGGGUGUUACCUUGACAAUAGUAAACUCACAUGGCACACUGGUGGGCAUGUCUGAUGGAAAGCUGCUUCUGCCCCAGCCCUGUUUUAGCUAGUCCUCAAUUUGGUCUGGUGUCCAAGCCCUGCCUGUGGAGUCAAGUCCUGCCUCCUAUCUCACAGUGGCGUGAUCAUGGCUCACUGCAGACUCAACACCCCCGGGCUCAAGCAGU